UACACACAAUGCCCACCCUGCUAGGUUGUUCUGGCUUCUUCCGUGCAGCGAGCACCCCUCAGGCAGGUCCCCCACAGCAGGUGGCAGGGGCAGCUGGUCCAGUCGUGGCCUGAGCUCACUAUGAGGGGGUGGCGGGUCACAGGGUCUCACAAACCCCUUCAGGCGGGGACCCCUGCCCUGCAGCCUCCUGGGCAGAGCGGCUCUGCAUGCGGGCCGGCCCCACAACACAGGAAGCACAGCCCCACUUAGUCAGGCAGCUGGGCGACCACGGGAGGGUGGGCAGGAGCCCAAGGGGCGCAGGCCGGAAGAGUCCAGGGUUGGCGUGGUGUGGGCUGGCCAGAUGCAGGGACACGCAGCUUCAAGAAGACAAUUCCCUCGCAGCCCCCAGCCCUACUCCUGCCGGGCUUGUGUCCCUGCAGCCCCCGCAUGGCCCACUGGGCUUGAGCCCAGGCUGGGUCCGGCCCCAUGGGAGCAAGCCCCCAAAGCCUGGGUAUUUACAGGUAUUUUUGGAGAAGAGACCCAGACUCACACGGUCCCCAGGGCCUUGACCCAAGAUACACUCAGAGCUCUGUGCUCGACUCAGCCUGGCUCUGGCAGAUGCCAUGGUCAGAACCCAGGUCCGGAGGGGCUCCGUUUCUUCAUCCUCCAUACAGUGGACCCCGCCUGGCCCAGUGCAGAGCCUGGGCAUCUGGACGGCGCAGGUCACCAGAGCAGUCAGGAGAAGCCCGGAGUCCCCGUCCUCCGCACAGGGGAGGGGCUGGAGAUGGAGGCAAUGACCCAUCUGCUCAGAAUCCCAAAAGUACGGGGCUCGGGGAGCUUCCGGGUUGAUCACAUCCACCUACGACUGGCAGGGCGGCCCACCCCCACUCCACGGGGACAGCAGGUUCUGCGCUCGGAAGCCCAUGGACCUCACCCUGGGCGGCUCUUCAUCUACGUGGUGUGCUGUUCUUCAUGACUUAAUAAGCCACCAGAUAUUUUAAUUUACUUCAGAGAUAGAAUGAGAGCACACAAGCAGCAGGUGAAGUAGAGAGAGACACAGACUCCCUGUGGGGAGCCCGACGUGGGACACGACCCCAGGACCCGGGAUCAUGACCCGAGCCGAAGGCAGACGCUCCAAGUCGGAGCCACCCAGGCGCCCCUGGCCAUCACCUCUUAAGUAAGAGAGCACAUGCAUCCUGACGCAGGUCCUAGAAGACCUGCAAGAGUGCACGGCCCGGCUCUCAGGCACCACAAGCCUCUGGACACACAUGCAUCUGCGGAGCUGUGAGGAAGCCUGUGCCCACCUUGCCACCUGUUUCCACAUGUGGACAGACCCUGAGGCACACAGCUGAGCCUCAGGGACAGGGAGGUGGAGCACAUUCCAGAGACACAGGUGACACAGGACAGCAGGCUGCCAUCUGGCCAGAUACCCAGGACACUAAGACCUGGUUCAGGGCAAGUUCCUAAUGGACACCUGGCUUGGUCCUGUAGUAUUUUAGGUGCCAUCAAGGUUGUGUGGUUUGGGGUAAAUGCUAUGGAAAAGAUGAAGACAUUCUCUAUAAAAAGUAUCUUCUAUAUAAUUUAGAAGAUCAU